GACGAACGCUGGCGGCGUGCCUAAUACAUGCAUGUCGAGCGCAGGAAAUCGACGGAACCCUUCGGGGGGAAGUCGACGGAAUGAGCGGCGGACGGGUGAGUAACACGUAAAGAACCUGCCCUCAGGUCUGGGAUAACCACGAGAAAUCGGGGCUAAUACCGGAUGGGUCAUCGGACCGCAUGGUCCGAGGAUGAAAGGCGCUUCGGCGUCGCCUGGGGAUGGCUUUGCGGUGCAUUAGCUAGUUGGUGGGGUAAUGGCCCACCAAGGCGACGAUGAAUAGCCGACCUGAGAGGGUGAUCGGCCACACUGGGACUGAGACACGGCCCAGACUACUACGGGAGGCAGCAGUAGGGAAUCUUCCACAAUGGACGAAAGUCUGAUGGAGCAACGCCGCGUGAACGAUGAAGGCCUUCGGGUCGUAAAGUUCUGUUGUAAGGGAAGAACAAGUGCCGCAGGCAAUGGCGGCACCUUGACGGUACCUUGCGAGAAAGCCACGGCUAACUACGUGCCAGCCGCCGCCGUAA
rnacentral:rRNA from 1 species